rnacentral:rRNA from 1 species
UUCCAGACUCCUACGGGAGGCAGCAGUGGGGAAUAUUGGGCAAUGGACGCAAGUCUGACCCAGCAACGCCGCGUGAAGGAAGAAGGCUUUCGGGUUGUAAACUUCUUUUAAGGGGGAAGAGCAGAAGACGGUACCCCUUGAAUAAGCCACGGCUAACUACGUGCCAGCAGCCGCGGUAAUACGGAGGGUGCGAGCGUUAUCCGGAUUUAUUGGGUUUAAAGGGUGCGUAGGCGGAAUAUCAAGUCAGCGGUAAAAAUUCGGGGCUCAACCCCGUCGUGCCGUUGAAACUGAUGUUCUUGAGUGGGCGAGAAGUAUGCGGAAUGCGUGGUGUAGCGGUGAAAUGCAUAGAUAUCACGCAGAACUCCGAUUGCGAAGGCAGCAUACCGGCGCCCAACUGACGCUGAAGCACGAAAGCGUGGGUAUCGAACAGGAUUAGAUACCCCCGUAAC